UACGAAGGGGGCUAGCGUUGUUCGGAAUUACUGGGCGUAAAGCGCACGUAGGCGGAUUGAUCAGUUGGGGGUGAAAUCCCAGGGCUCAACCCUGGAGCUGCCUUCAAUACUGUCUGUCUAGAGGUCGAGAGAGGUGAGUGGAAUUCCGAGUGUAGAGGUGAAAUUCGUAGAUAUUCGGAGGAACACCAGUGGCGAAGGCGGCUCACUGGCUCGAUACUGACGCUGAGGUGCGAAAGCGUGGGGAGCAAACAGG
rnacentral:misc_RNA from 1 species